rnacentral:rRNA from 1 species
AUGUUCUUGAACCACUCUGGGGCGACAUAUCCUCGAGUACCUCUAAUACCGGUGUUUGUCCUUGUCUGAUUUCUCAAGAGAAGCUUCGCUAGGCCAAAGUCUGAAAUCUUUGCGACAAGGUUGUCGUCAAGAAGAAUGUUAUGCGGCUUUAUGUCACGGUGGAUGAUUUGUGUGCUACACUCUUCAUGCAAGUAGAGCAACCCUCUUGCCACCCCAAGUGCGAUAUGA